rnacentral:rRNA from 1 species
AAUAGAUACCCGGGUAGUCCACGCCGUAAACGAUGGAUGCUAGCUGUUAUGAGUAUCGACCCUUGUAGUAGCGAAGCUAACGCGUUAAGCAUCCCGCCUGUGGAGUACGAGCGCAAGCUUAAAACAUAAAGGAAUUGACGGGGACCCGCACAAGCGGUGGAGCGUGUUGUUUAAUUCGAUGAUAAGCGAAGAACCUUACCAAGGCUUGACAUCCCUGGAAUUUCUCCGAAAGGAGAGAGUGCCUUCGGGAAUCAGGUGACAGGUGAUGCAUGGCCGUCGUCAGCUCGUGUCGUGAGAUGUUUGGUUAAGUCCAUCAACGAGCGCAACCCUUGUAAAUAGUUGAAUUUUUCUAUUUAGACUGCCUCGGUAACGGGGAGGAAGGAGGGGAUGAUGUCAGGUCAGUAUUUCCCUUACGCCUUGGGCUACAAACACGCUACAAUGGCCGGUACAAAGGGCAGCCAACCCGCGAGGGGAGCAAAUCCCAUCAAAACCGGUCUCAGUUCGGAUAGCAGGCUGAAAUUCGCCUGCUUGAAGCCGGAAUCGC